GGGCGGGCCAAAACUCCCAGGGGGGGCGUGGCUUGUAAAGGAGGCCCCUCCCCCUCCUCUGUAUAUCUGGGUCUGGGGGGCUCCCAAGAGUGGCGGAUCUUUAUUGGGUGGGGGGGUUGUUUUAAGCACUGUUAGGCUGUUCUAUGGGCCGGGCUCGGGAGGUCCAUAGGUCUUACGAAUGGGGUCUUCGUGCCUAUGGUGCCUGCUUUCACAGUGAUUUGGGGGGGGGUCUUAGUGGUCUCAAUGGGGGGGGGUCCCUCAUGGGGGGGGCUAUGGGGGUCCUAAAGCUCCAUAGGGGAUAAUGGGGGGGUCUUAAGACUCCAUAGUGGUGUAUGGGGGGGUCCCAGGGCUCCAUAGGGAACAAUGGGGGCAGGGGUCUUAAGGGGGGUCCCACAUCUCCAUAGGGGUCUCAGUGAGUCCAUAGGGGUCCGGGGGGGUCCCACAGCCCCAUAGGGCUCCAUGGCUGCUCCCGGUGCCAUUCCCGGUUCCGAUCCCGGUUCAGAUCCCGGUUCCAUUCCCCAUUCAGAUCCCGGUUCGGAUCCCGGUUCGGAUCCCGGUUCGGAUCCCGGUUCCAUUCCCCGUUAUUCGGAUCCCGGUUCGAUUCCCCCUUCAGUUCCAUCCCGUUCAGUUCCCGGUUCCAUUCCCCGUUUAACUCCCGUUUCGGCUCCCGUUUCGGCUCCCCGUUCACCUCGCUCCCGUUCGCCUCCAUCCCGUCGUUCCUCCGGUUCCAUCCCGUCUCCAUCCGGUUCCGUUCCGUCCGGUUCCCCCCUGUUUCCGUUCCUGAGGCUGGCGGCCAACACGAUCCCCUGCACGGCGGCGUAGGCGGCCCCGAGCGGCAGCAUCAGCUCCUGCAGCACCAACCGGAGCCCGGCGGCCGCCAUGAUGAACGCGGCCAGGCCUUGACACCAGGCCCCGGCCGCUCCGUUCAACCCUAUGGCCGUUAA
rnacentral:lncRNA from 1 species